GAGAUGACUGCUAGGCGUUGCCGGCCAGCUUCUCCCGCAGGGCGGCGAGUUGGGCGUCGCUGGCGAGCGUGCCGCCGGUCGACUCCCC
rnacentral:tRNA from 1 species